rnacentral:rRNA from 1 species
UCAGGAUGAACGCUGGCGGCGUGCUUAACACAUGCAAGUCGAACGGAACUUUCUCCCGAACGAAGCGGAGUGCUUGCACAAAGUGGAUUCAUUUGAAAAGUUAGUGGCGGACGGGUGAGUAACGCGUGGGUAACCUGCCGUAUGCUGGGGGACAACAGUUGGAAACGACUGCUAAUACCGCAUAAGCGCACACUAUCGCAUGAUAGAGUGUGAAAAAACUCCGGUGGCAUACGAUGGACCCGCGUCUGAUUAGCUAGUUGGUGAGGUAGCGGCCCACCAAGGCGACGAUCAGUAGCCGGCCUGAGAGGGUGAACGGCCACAUUGGGACUGAGACACGGCCCAAACUCCUACGGGAGGCAGCAGUGGGGAAUAUUGCACAAUGGGGGAAACCCUGAUGCAAGCGACGCCGCGUGAGUGAAGAAGUAUUUCGGUAUGUAAAGCUCUAUCAGCAAGGAAGAAAAAUGACGGUACUUGACUAAGAAGCCCCGGCUAACUACGUGCCAGCCGCAGC